GGGGGUCAUUCCCUGUGGUAGCGCCUUAGCAGCAGAGGCUGAGACAAUUACAUUCUCUGGUGAGACGCCGUGGGCACAGCUUCACUGAGACACCCUCUGCCAGAAGCAGAGGGCUUCUGAGGAAGAAAAUACAAGCAAAUUAAUCCCCCGACAGCUUUGAAAAUUUAGGUGAUGCAAUUUCUGAAGUUCAUUUGAAACGUUCGAGGGCUUGAGCCACUGAGAAUCGUCACUACUUCAUCAGGCCCCUAAGGAAAGUGACAGAGAGGAAGAACAUGAAGUUGGUACGAAGGGAGGAGGGGAAGAUCUGGGAUGGCUUCGAAGAAGAAUGAAAAUGAUCAAAACGCACUGCAAGAGAAUUUAAAAAGUAAAAAGGACAAUAAAAGAAAAACUGCCAGAUACGUAGUUUCUAAGAAGAUUAUGAGGAACUACGCCUUGCUUUUAAAAUUUUAAUUGAAACGUUGUUGAAAUUACUGAAAUACCAGAAAAGGUCCCCCAGGUAGAAUUGUAUUCUGCUGAAGUUUUUACAAAAGACCAUCUGUCUGUGCUGGACUUUUCUUCACUGUCCAUCAUGGGAAUUCACGCUCACAGCGUGAGAAUUCGAGCAUGAAAAAAACCCAGCAACUUUACUUGUGUUUUUAAUUCUGUUAUCCUUCAAUUAUUACUCCAAUAAAUACAAAUAUUUUAUAAUUUUA